GCUUUAAUUAUAAAGUUACUUUUAAUUGGUUUAAUUGUUUAGGAUAUAUUUGAUGUAUGUUUAAAAAAGCAUUUUUUUAUUUAGUAAUGGUGAUUGAAAUAUGUAGUGUGGGAUGAGUACUGUAAGGGAAGUGAUGUUGAAUUGAGUUAAAGCAGUUGUUUAUAAUGUACCUUUUGUAUCAUGGUUUAGCGAGAUUGUGAAUUAAAUUAAUUUUUCCCGAAACCUAAUGGGCUAUUUUGAUUUAUUUGUGGAGUAAAUUUUAGUGAGUGUAGCAGAACUCUUGUGAAAAAUUGAAAUUGAAAUUAUAUUUUAUUCGUAUUAGGUGAUAGCUGGUUUUUCUAUAAAUAUAUAUAAGUAUAGAAUUAUAUAAAAGCUAAUUGAAGUUUAUUUGAUUGGUUUUGGUAUAAUUUAAAGGUAGUUAAGGCUAAUCUUAAUUAUUGUAAGAAGUGUAAAUUGAUAGUGAUUUUGAAAUAUAAGCUUGGAGUUAGCUAUUAUAAUUAGUUUGUUAUAAAAUAUUUAUGUUUUGUGUGAAAUUAAUUUUUAAGUAUAUUUUAUAUUGAUGGGAAUGUAUAAAUUUAAUUAUUGUUGGUUGUAAUGUAUAUGCUAAAAUGAGUAUUUUAUAAUGAUGAUUCUAAAGGUAAGUAGAUGUUUAGAUUUGUUUUUAUUUUAGAUAAUGAAAUGCGAAUAAGGAAUUCGGCAAAGUUUUAUUUCGCCUGUUUAGCAAAAACAUGUCUUUUUGUUAUAUAAAUAUAGAAAGUCAGACCUGCCCGGUGAAUAUUUAUUUAAACGGCCGCGGUAUUUUGACCGUGCAAAGGUAGCAUAAUCAGUUGUCUUAUAAUUGAAGACUGGAAUGAAUGGUUAAACGAAAUUAGAGCUGUUUCAUUUGUAUUUAUUAGAAAUUGGCUUUUAAAUGAAGAGAUUUAAAUUUGAUUGAGGGACAAGAAGACCCUAUUGAGCUUUAAAUAAUUUUAAGGGUUAAGGUUAUUAUUAUAAAGAUCUAUGGUCUUUAGUAUUUUUUUAGUUGGGGCGACUAAGGAACAGGAGAAGCUUCCUUUAUUUAUUUAAUUGAUAAAUUUUGAUCCUGUAUUACUGAUUAAGAGAGAUAGUUACCAUAGGGAUAACAGCAUAAUCUUCUUGGAGAGUUCUUAUUAAAAAGGGGGGUUGUGACCUCGAUGUUGGACUAAAAUAUCCUAAGGGUGUAGAAGCUUUUGAGGGUUGGUCUGUUCGACCAUUAAAAUUUUACAUGAUCUGAGUUCAGACCGGCGUGAGCCAGGUCAGUUUCUAUCUUUAAUUAUGAUAUUUGACUUUAGUACGAAAGGAUCAAGUUAAUAGAGUGUUUAAAAUCUUUAUUUAGAAUUUAUAUAAUUUAUGGUUUAGUAUUAUUAUA
rnacentral:rRNA from 1 species